rnacentral:rRNA from 1 species
AAGCUUGCUUCCCCAGUGGCGCACGGGUGAGUAACGCGUAACUGACCUACCCCAAAGUCCGGAAUAACCUCCCGAAAGGGAAGCUAAUACUGGAUGUGCAGUCUGGUCUUGUCCAGCCUGUAAAGAUUUAUUGCUUUGGGAUGGGGUUGCGUUCCAUCAGCUAGUUGGUGGGGUAAAGGCCUACCAAGGCGACGACGGAUAGCCGGCCUGAGAGGGUGGCCGGCCACAGGGGCACUGAGACACGGGUCCCACUCCUACGGGAGGCAGCAGUUAGGAAUCUUCCACAAUGGGCGAAAGCCUGAUGGAGCGACGCCGCGUGAGGGAUGAAGGUUUUCGGAUCGUAAACCUCUGAAUCAGGGACGAAAGACACUUCGGUGGGAUGACGGUACCUGAGUAAUAGCACCGGC